AAUUUUGGACAAUGUGGGAAACCCUGACCCAGCCAUCCCGCGCGUAUGAUUAAUGCCUUCGCUUUGCAAAGUAUCUUUGGCUGAGAAGAAAAGAUAUCUCCUAAUACGAGAUACUGCUGACGUUAUCUGCAGCAUAAGCACCGGCUAACUACAUGCCAUAAGCCGCGGUAAUACGUAGGGGGCAAGCGUUCAGCGGAAUUAAUGGGCGUAAAGCGUGUGUAGGCGGUUCGGAAAGAAAGAUAGGAAAACCCAGGGCUCAACCUUGGGACUGCAUUUUUAACUGCCGAGCUAGAGUAUGUCAGAGGGGGGUAGAAAUCCACGUGUAGCAGUGAAAUGCGUAGAUAUGUGGAGGAAUACCGAUGGGGAAGGCAGGCCCCUGGGAUAAUACUGACGGUCAGACACGAAAGCGUGGGGAGCAAAC
rnacentral:rRNA from 1 species